rnacentral:rRNA from 1 species
GACGAACGCUGGCGGCGUGCUUCACACAUGCAAGUCGAACGAAGUGGCGCACGGGUGAGUAACGCGUAAUCAACCUGCCCUUCAGAGGGGGCCAACAGUUGGAAACGACUGCUAAUACCGCAUACUGAAGGAGGGGCUUGCGGCUGAUUAGCUCGUUGGAGGUGUAACGGCCCACCAGGGCGAUGCUCAGUAGCCGGGCUGAGAGGAUGAACGGCCACCUUGGGACUGAGACACGGCCCAGACUCCUACGGGAGGCAGCAGGGGGGAAGCUUCCGCAAUGGACGAAAGUCUGACGGAGCAACGCCGCGUGAGUGAUGACGGCCGUCGGGUUGUAAAGCUCUGUUAAUCGGGACGCGGUACCGGAAUAGAAAGCCACGGCUAACUACGUGCCAGCAGCCGCGGUAAUUC